UACGUAGGGCGCAAGCGUUGUCCGGAAUUAUUGGGCGUAAAGAGCUCGUAGGCGGCUUGUCGCGUCGGAUGUGAAAGCCCGGGGCUUAACUCCGGGUCUGCAUUCGAUACGGGCAGGCUAGAGUUCGGUAGGGGAGAUCGGAAUUCCUGGUGUAGCGGUGAAAUGCGCAGAUAUCAGGAGGAACACCGGUGGCGAAGGCGGGUCUCUGGGCCGUAACUGACGCUGAGGAGCGAAAGCAUGGGGAGCGAACAGG
rnacentral:rRNA from 1 species